rnacentral:rRNA from 1 species
GUGGGGAAUCUUCCGCAAUGGACGAAAGUCUGACGGAGCAACGCCGCGUGAGUGAUGAAGGUCUUCGGAUUGUAGAGCUCUGUUAAUCGGGACGAAAGAGCCUAGUGUGAAUAAUGCUAGGAAGUGACGGUACCGGAAUAGAAAGCCACGGCUAACUACGUGCCAGCAGCCGCGGUAAUACGUAGGUGGCAAGCGUUGUCCGGAAUUAUUGGGCGUAAAGCGCGCGCAGGCGGAUCUGCCAGUCUGUCUUAAAAGUUCGGGGCUUAACCCCGUGAUGGGAAGGAAACUACAGAUCUAGAGGAUCGGAGAGGAAAGUGGAAUUCCUAGUGUAGCGGUGAAAUGCGUAGAUAUUAGGAAGAACACCAGUGGCGAAGGCGACUUUCUGGACGAAAACUGACGCUGAGGCGCGAAAGCCAGGGGAGCGAACGGGAUUAGAAACCCCAGUAGUCC